rnacentral:rRNA from 1 species
GAUGAACGCUGGCGGCGUGCCUAAUACAUGCAAGUCGAACGCUGGAAAUCUAGCUUGCUAGAUUGAAGGAGUGGCGAACGGGUGAGUAAUACAUAAGCAACCUACCCACGAAGACUGGGAUAAUCUCUGGAAACGGGGACUAAUACCGGAUAGGUAAUCGGAAGGCAUCUUCUGAUUAUUAAAGGUUAAAAACACUGGUGGAUGGGCUUAUGGCGCAUUAGUUAGUUGGUGAGGUAACGGCCCACCAAGACGAUGAUGCGUAGCCGGCCUGAGAGGGUGAACGGCCACAUUGGGACUGAGACACGGCCCAGACUCCUACGGGAGGCAGCAGUAGGGAAUUGUCGGCAAGGGGGGAAACCCUGACCGAGCAACGCCGCGUGAGUGAUGACGGCCUUCGGGUUGUAAAGCUCUGUUGUAAGGGAAGAACGGUAGAUAGAGAAUAUCUAAAUGACGGUACCUUACCAGAAAGCCACGGCUAACUACGUG